GGUGGCUCAGUGGUAGAACGCUUGCCUUGCAUGCAUGAGGCCCUGGGUUUGAUUCCCCAGCACCA
rfam:Dipodomys ordii contig_44265, whole genome shotgun sequence.